rnacentral:rRNA from 1 species
ACGAACGCUGGCGGCGUGCUUAACACAUGCAAGUCGAACGGUGAAGCGCCUUCCUUUUUGGUGGGUGUGGAUGAGUGGCGAACGGGUGAGUAACACGUGAGUAACCUGCCCCCUUCUUCUGGAUAACCGCAUGAAAGUGUGGCUAAUACGGGAUAUUCUGUGCCUGCUGCAUGGUGGGUGUGGGAAAGAUUGCGCCUUUUGGGUGUUUUUGGUGGGGGAUGGGCUCGCGGCCUAUCAGCUUGUUGGUGGGGUGAUGGCCUACCAAGGCGGUGACGGGUAGCCGGCCUGAGAGGGUGGACGGUCACACUGGGACUGAGACACGGCCCAGACUCCUACGGGAGGCAGCAGUGGGGAAUAUUGCACAAUGGGCGCAAGCCUGAUGCAGCGACGCCGCGUGAGGGAUGGAGGCCUUCGGGUUGUGAACCUCUUUCGCC